UUAUUGGCAUCAUGCUUCAUAGUCAAUCUUAGUUCCUUAAAGAUGUUACUAUUCUGGCCAGGGUACUAACUUCCAGCCAUAAGGCAGGCUUUCUCCUCCCCGCACAGUAACUACGGUUGAGAGGAUUGCAGCCUGAGUGAUUGACAUGAAAGUGUUCCAAUAAGACCAUACUUCUCAAAAGGCCAUGAAGUGAGGGUAAAGGAAGGAAAGAGUACUCAUCAAGUUUGCACCGGCUCAGAGUCCAGAUGAAAAGACUCAUCACCCCACACGAUGGGUGCCAUACAAAUGAUGAGGUUUUUGGGGGUGGUAGUGGGGUUCAUGGGGUCCGGAGCCGACGCCAAGAAAGAAUUCUUGAAAACAUCUUUGGUGCAAAAAGGUGAUUUUAUUAAAGCACAGGGACAGGACCCGUAGGCAGGAAGAGCUACCCCUUGUGUUUGCAUUUUAAAUUUAUCUACAGUUUCCAGUGAAUUUUGGUGUAGGUUGUAAAGUUUUUGUGUACACUUCAUUUCAUAUAGUUUCUCAUUAAUUUUUCCUUAACUAUUUUUGGCUAAGUUGGGGGAUAGUGGGCUCCACUUCAAUUUCCAAAAUGUCAUGGAUUCAGCGGGCGGCCAGGAGGGGGCGCUGCCUCCACGGACCUGUGAGCCCAGCGAGUCCUGCACUACCUCCACCGCCUGCAGGGGGCGCCCGAGCCCUGCUUCCUGACGCCGGCGCGCGCACGCGCACGCUCGUUCAGCCCGCCUCCUGCGUGGCAGGAGCUCCGCUUCCUCAGGACCCACUAAGGGGGAUUCGGGGGGACGUGGGGACGCGGGGCCGCGGCCACAGGGACAGGAACUGGGUCUCCUCAGGACCCACUGUUGAGGCUUCGGGAGGACGUGGUGCUGCGUCCACACUGACAGGAAACCUGCUUCCUUAGGACCCACUGUGGGGGAUUCCGGCAGACGUGGGCCCGCGUCCACAGGGACAAGAACCCGGUCUCCACAGGGACAAGAACCCGGUCUCCUCAGGACCCGCUGCGGAGGAUUCGGGAGGACGUGGGCCCGCGUCCAUACCAAGAACCCGGUCUUCCUCAGGACCCGCUGCGGAGGCUUCGGGAGGACGUGGGCCGAGUCCACAGGGACAAGAACCGGUCUCUUUAGGACCCACUGUGGAGGAUUCUGGAGGACGUGGGCCGAGUCCACAGGGACAAGAACCGGUCUCUUUAGGACCCACUGUGGAGGAUUCUGGAGGACGUGGGGCCGUGUCCACGCCGACAAGAGCCCAGUCGCCUCAGGACCUGCCGCGGAAGGAGCAGGCGGGGAGAAAGCGAGGCUGGGGGAGGAGGGGCUUCUGGAGCUGGGACGCUGAGGGGGGCGGUGUUCAGGGGACCCCGCGGGGAAGGGCCCGGCGCGGCUUCGUGCGCGGUGACACUGUGUCCCCCGCGGGGCUGUGCGCGCGGCUGUCGGGUCUUCACGCUCCGGGCUCCGGGGCCGAGGGACCGCGGGGCCGCGGGUCCGUGUACCUGCUCCGCUCUGACUCGGUUCCCGCCGCGUCCCGUUCGCGGUCCAGGAGCAGGUGGCUGGGCGAUGCGCUCCCGCCGCUCUGGCCGCGUGGGGUCCGUCCCGCCUCCGCGUGCGGGUCGGGGUGUCAGUCCUGUGUCUGCGACGGCGUCGUGGGGAGUUCGUUGCGACGGCCCCGCAUCUGCUGAUCGCUCCGGGCAGGACGGCUGUGGUCACAGGAACGAUUCCUCCAAGGAGUAGCUUUCUGUCCCUGUGCGUCUUCCUCCGUUUCUGCCCCCAGUGUCCUGUCCUCAGAGAGCAGGCCUGUCACCUCCUUGCUUAGAUUCCCCCCCCCCCCCCCCCAUCCCCUCCCUGGGUCCUUCUUUCCUUCUGAUGCGGUUGUAAAUGGGACCGUCUGUUCAUUUCUCUUUCUGAUGGGUUAGGGUCAGGAGUGUGUAGAUGUGCACAUGGUGUUUGUGUGUUGAUCUCGUAUCCUGAGGGUGUGCUUAUUUAUUAGUUCUGUUUACUUUAAAAAUAACGCCGCCAGUUUUUACCAGCAAAAAUGGGUUUAUUUGGGAAGAAGAGAGUAUUCGUCCUCCUGUGACUGGCGUAUUUCCCUCCGCACGACGACUGCAAAGUUCAGUCCAUGUCGUAGCAGGUGUCAGAAUUCCCGCCCUUUGUGAGGCUGAGCCUAUUCCGUCAUGUAGAGACCACAUCUUGUUUAUUUAUUCAUCUGUCCGCGGUCACUCGGGUUGCUUCCGUGUUUGGGCUCCUGUGAAGAGGCUGCUAUGAACACGGGAACAGGAACGUCUGCUCAAGGCUUCGCUUUCAAUUUCUGGCCUAUGCAAGUCAGAAUCAACCUCCAUCCACGUCCAUCCUUUAUGAGACCUAAGACGUGAUGCAGCUCCCAUGGGAAAUAUCAGGUGUGUCUCUACCCAGGAUGCAGAGAAAGACAAGGUCUCAUGGAUUGCGGGGUCCCAGACAUCACCUCAUCGAUGCAGUCGAUGGUUUGUUCCAGAUUCAGACUUGUUUCCGGGAAGAAACCCUGACAGAAAUUCAGAAGAACGGGAGCUGCAUUCCAUUAGGAUGUGAAUACACGAAACGUUCGUCUCAGGACCUUCUAGAAGAAUGAGCUGGGACUCACUUUCCGAGUCCUGCUGGAACCAGAGACCGAGUUUCCAUGUUUUAGCUGUACCUGUGACACAGGACACGAGAGAACGUGCUCAUGUGAACACAAGUGAAGGACACCGUGGGCAAUUGCCACACAGGUAAUUUUGGAUUUUUUCUCUUCACAACUUAAGUUUCAGUGCAUGUUUUCUAUCACAAACAUGCCACUUCUUAUAGUUCAGAGUGUUUGUGCCUAGGGCACACCUGAAGGGACUCUGGACAGCAUGUUUACCAAAAUGCUGAUGGGUAUGAAAUUUAUUUACUUUGUCUAAGACCAUUCUAAAGGACACAUACAAAAAUAUAAGUUGGAGUGAAGGCAGUUCGCAUUUUCAAAUUGUAAGGAUACCCACAGAUUUUUCUGAGCACAUUAAAACCCUCAAUAGAAGGAAACAGGAGAGGAAGAAACAGCAAGAGCAAUGAUUCCACAUUGAGGAGAUCCACAAAGAAUGAGGCAAGGUAGGAGACUUCCAAGUGGAGUGUGGUGUCAUCCUCCUUGAUUUAUUCCAGGAACACAUUAGAAAAGCCCUAUGGUCCCCACCUUUAGGCACGCUUAGCUGCUCAAGUUACCACAAACAGAUGCCAUCUGGGAAACAGGGAAGCCCGUAGACUCGGCAGUAAAGGUUUUGCAUCUGGGGAAAAAAACCAAAAACAGCAAACAUACCAUACGACACACAAACCAGAGACAAUGGCAGGAGAGUGUCCUGUACAGAAAGAUGUGGCUGUCCAUAAAGACUUAGAACUGAAAACGGCCACAGCAUUUACUUUGUGCUUCUUGGCAGUUUUGGCAGAGCCAGUGUCGAUGUCACUCUUGGUUGUGACACCUACUUCUGGUCCUGCAAAAAGCCCUAGAAGGGAUGGAGGUUUAUUCUGACUUGAGUAGACUGUUUGGAGGUCAAAAACAAAACAAAAAACCCUCCCCUCAUACUUCUGACAACUUAAACUCUUUGCCCCAGUGAGAUCCCAAAUUACAUGCACAGGGUGUCCCACAUGCCUCUGGUGAUACCCAAGAAGAACUUGAAGAACCAUCCCUUAUAACUUGAUGAAGACUCCUAAAAGCCCUGAUUCAGAUGUAUUCAUCACUCAUUGAACAACUAUGGAUGGCUGGGGGCACAACUAGAUGGACGUACGUUACAUUGUGCCUCAUGCCUCACAGAUCCCAGCACGUGGACUGUGUACAGGGCAUUUCUGCUGAAGCGCUAUGUCUGAUUUUCUGCAUACGGCCCCAUUCCUUUUCCACAAGAGAUGCCUGUACCAACCCAUGGUGGGGGAAAGGACAAAGAUGAGAUCCUGAGCAACUUGAGGAAUAUGGUAAUGGCAGCAGACACAUUCCCCUUGCAUCACAAUGGUCUGUGGUACCGCCUCUGCACCUUGGCCCAAGACCUAACAGCCACAAAAUAAGGUUCAUCUCCUAGCCAGAAUCAAGAAAGGAAGACACAGCAGCCACACUGUUCCCACAGAGGUGAGGUCUGGAAGGGAUCACCCAGGCAGGGAGACCUCUGUUUGGAGUGUGCAGUCAUCCUCCUCUCAUUAUUUCCUGAAACUCACGGAAAAACCUUAAGGUACUCAGUCUAUAAGCGCUUUUGGCUUCUAAACUUACCACAGAAAGCUGACAGACUAAAAAUUGAGAAGCCUGUGGGCUCCUGGGUUAUGAGUGUGCAUUUAGAAAACAAAGAACAAACAGAUAUAUCACACAACACGCAAAACGAGACAAGUCCGGGAGAGCGUGCUGUACAUAAAGAUGAGGGUUUCCCAACAGAGUUACAACUGAGAAUUGCCCUGGCAUUUACCUUGUCCUUGUCUGCAUUCUUGGUACAGUCAGAACUGCUGUAACCCACAGAGGUUUCAGCAGUUUCUCGAUCUACUAAAGACCCUAGAAGGGACAGAGGUUUAUUCUGCUUUUAGAGGACUGUGUGGAAUGAAAACAAUCCCUCAACUCAUUCCUCAAAUAUCUUAAACUUUUCCCUACAGUCAGGUCCCUGACCAGAGGCAGAGGGUAUCCCAAAUGCCUCAGGUGACCCCCAAGGAUAAGGGGGAGAACCGUCCCCUCACCUUGAUAAAGACCUCAUGGUGCCCUAGUUCAUGUUGUUUCAUAAUCACAUAACUGUGGACAGCUCAGGCACAACUAGCAAUUUAGAAUUCACCAGUAAAACAGUUUUCUCAGUAUACAUCAUGGGAAAUCACGGAUUCCAUUACAGAUCAAGAAUUAAUCUGAGGAUGCUUGGAUUCAGCAUCCGACUCUUAAUUUUGGCUCAGGUCACGAUCUCACAGCUUGUGAAUUCAAGCCCAGCGUUGGGUUCCUCACUGACAGUGUGGCACCUGCUUGGCAUUCUGUCUAUGCGUCUCUCAAAAUGAAUAAACUUAACAAAAAAAGAAUAACAUUGAGAAUACUGGUUUGGUGUAUAUCCUCAAUGAGUCCUCAAGAAGGGUGCAUUUCUUCAGGCUUCAGGCAAAUUGUUCAAUCUCCCAGCUUAUCUACAAGCUGCCUUCCGCAUGAGAGCAGUUAGUAUAUAAGGAAAGACUAAUUUGACACUAUCGAGAAAAGGAAAACUGUCAGAAGUUAUCAGUGAAGCUGCUGCAGAGUUGCACUGAUACCAACAGAGUACUAAGCUAAGCUUUAUGGAACUUAAAUUGAGGGAUGUAUGGCUACAGUUCCCAAAACAAACAAAAAGAAAGACUGUUAAAACUAGUGAAUAAAUGAUCUUCUCCUCAAAUAAACUAAAGUCUUCACAUUGUGUCCGGGUGGGAAGAAGGUUUCCAGGCUCUUCAGACAGGGGGAUGCUAGAGAAGGUGGGAGGGUCACCGUCAGAGGAGGGGCAUGAGCUCCACCAGUCACAGGGACAAGUGCCUCACUGUCUGUGGCACCAGAGGAGAACACCCUUCUGUCACCCCUUUGGACCACCUGCCGUCCUUAGUGCUUGUGAUUCUUUCCAGACCACACGAUGAUCACACACAGGAACAGGCUGCACAGCAGAAAUUAGACUGCAGCACAUCACAACGUGCUCCUUACCUCUCCUUGGAGGGUUCUUGCAGUGAUUGGUUUCUGCCUCGUGUAUCCCUCAGGCAGCCUCUUUGCUUCCAUCCCAUCCAGUCUUGGAUACAGAAAAAUAAUGGACUUCUAUAAGAGUUGCAACACCACGUCGUCUACUAGACAACAAACAGGGCAGGCGUCAUCCCUGGAAACACCCAUAAAAACGCAAGUCAAAUGACCACACCUGUAUUUCAAGUAAGCGACCUCCCUGCCCUGCUCCACCAUCUCCCUGUCCCAAAUCUGAGUCUUGAUCUGGGCGAGAAAAAACACAUCCACUUUCAGUCAGAAGGUGGUGCCAGACUGUGCACCAAACAAAGAGGAGGAAACAAGAAGACACUUACCUAGUUGUCCUGAGCAUUCUUCUCAUGAACUGCAAGCUGAAAAAGCCAACAAUGAAAAUCCCAUGGUUAGGGAUUCCAAGGGCCACUACACUCACCCGCGUGAGGUGCUAAGGGUUCAGUAUGUCAGGCAGAACUCAGGUUACCUGGUAUCUAAAGGUGAACUCUGCCUGCUGCAGCCGUUCCCAUGUUUGUUCAAUUUGUUGCCUGUGAGUUACAAUUGCUCUUGUCAGGUAAGGCCCAAUAUUGGGUAUGAUUUUAAAUAAGCUGCCCACGUUCCCAAGAACCUCAUAUCUGUCCCCUGAUACAAUUUAUUCUUACACAUGAAACACUUUGCCCAUGAUUAUCAAUGUACAGUAGGAUCAAAGCUAUUGUUACAUCCUUUCCUUACUCAUUAUUCCAUGCCUGUAGGGUUCAGAGUUCAUAGAAUUCCUUCCCAUUUUCAAUCUUUCUCUAACUCAUCAUGUGACAAGUGUCUUUUAUCAUAAAGAUCUAUUCUUCUAUAACUUAUAUCCUCACCAUGUUUCCCAGGGUUGCAAAGAC